CUCUCUAUAGUUCAGUGGUAGAACGUUCGACUGUAGUAGUUUAUAGUAAUCGAAAUGUCCCUAGUUCGAAUCUGGGUGGGGAGA
rfam:Pseudocohnilembus persalinus scaffold1106, whole genome shotgun sequence.